rnacentral:rRNA from 1 species
CCUACGGGUGGCUGCAGUGGGGAAUAUUGCACAAUGGGGGAAACCCUGAUGCAGCGAAGCCGCGUGAGUGAAGAAGUAUUUCGGUAUGUAAAGCUCUAUCAGCAGGGAAGCAAUAGCGACCUUUGGGUCGCCAGACGGUACCUGACUAAGAAGCACCGGCUAACUACGUGCCAGCAGCCGCGGUAAUACGGAGGGGGCAAGCGUUGUCCGGAUUUAUUGGGGUUAAAGGGUGCGCAGGCGGCCUGUUAAGUAAGGUGUUAAAGGCGCAGGCUCAACCUGUGUAUGGCACUUGAUACUUGCAAGCUGGAAUGCGGGAGAGGUAAAGGGAAUGCCUGGUGUAGCGGUGAAAUGCUUAGAUAUCAGGAGGAACAUCGGUGGCGUAAGCGCUUUACUGGGCCGUAAUUGACGCUGAGGAACGAAAGCCAGGGUAGCAAAUGGGAUUAGAUACCCUAGUAGUC